UUUGAGAGAGAAAAGGAGGAGACCACUUGACUAAGAAAAAGGGAGAUAAGAGAGGGUGAACUUUGUUGAGGCAGAGAGGAGGAGCAAAACAAAAAAUAAGGAGUUGGGAAGAAGAAGAAGAAGAAGCAACAUUGAAGGAGGAGGAUAAAGAGACUAGAGGUUGUGAAAGAGUGUCCGGCUCUAUAUCUGAGGGUGUGAAAUAUUGCCUCUUACCAGCUGAUCACCGAAGGGUGUGGAUCCACCAGAUGUACCGGUACGAUGCAAUGGGAGCCUGGGCUACGCUAUGUGUUGGGAACGCUGUGUAAUGCAGGCCAGCUUCCUGCCAAAGAGCGUGACGACACUGGGUUGAUUGAUCAUGUGUGUGUUGAGAAUUAGACUGGAACUGUAUUUUGGAAAUAUUGGAACUGAACCGUGUUAUAUUUUAUGUCAUGAUAACACUCAUAUGCCACACACC